rnacentral:rRNA from 1 species
UACAGAGGUCCCAAGCGUUGUUCGGAUUCACUGGGCGUAAAGGGUGCGUAGGUGGCCGGGAAAGUUCGGUGUGAAAGCUCGGAGCUCAACUCCGAAAUGGCAUUGAAUACUAUCCGGCUGGAGGUUCGGAGGGGAGACUGGAAUUCUCGGUGUAGCAGUGAAAUGCGUAGAUAUCGAGAGGAACACCGGUGGCGAAGGCGAGUCUCUGGACGAAUCCUGACACUGAGGCACGAAAGCUAGGGGAGCAAACAGG